ensembl:snRNA
UAGUUGCAUGAAAAGAGAGAAGGUUAGCACUCUACUUGACAAGGAUGGAAUUGGCGCUUGUGGCAACAGACACAUGGUUAAAGCUUUGCCAACUACUUCAUGGCAUCUUUAACCAUGUUUUGGC